rnacentral:rRNA from 1 species
GGGGGGGGGGGGGGGGGGGCGGAGGGCGGGGAGGGCGGGCGGGGGGGCGAGGGGGUUGCUGCGCUGGCGGGGGCGGCGGGCGGGGGAGGAGCGCGUGGAGAACCUACCUAUAAGACUGGGAUAACUUCGGGAAACCGGAGCUAAUCCCGGCUAAUAUAUUGAACCGCAUGGUUCAAUAGUGAAAGACGGUUUUGCUGUCACUUAUAGAUGGAUCCGCGCCGCAUUAGCUAGUUGGUAAGGUAACGGCUUACCAAGGCAACGAUGCGUAGCCGACCUGAGAGGGUGAUCGGCCACACUGGAACUGAGACACGGUCCAGACUCCUACGGGAGGCAGCAGUAGGGAAUCUUCCGCAAUGGGCGAAAGCCUGACGGAGCAACGCCGCGUGAGUGAUGAAGGUCUUCGGAUCGUAAAACUCUGUUAUUAGGGAAGAACAAAUGUGUAAGUAACUAUGCACGUCUUGACGGUACCUAAUCAGAAAGCCACGGCUAACUACGUG